rnacentral:snRNA from 14 species
AUACUUACCUUGUGGGAGCGCCUCCGCUCAAGAAGGGAGGCUGCUAUGGUGGUGUCUCUGCAUUGCACAUCGCAGUAGACGUCGCCAUUGAGUGUCCUUCGGGGCUCUCAUCCGCGUUAUUUUUGGCUCUUACUAU